AGGUGAGCAGCCCCAUUGCGCCACGUCCCACGGUGCAUCAGGCCCAUAGCAUCCAGUCCGCUGAUCACCGACUGCUGACUCUGAAGCCGCGAGCCAGAAUACACAUUUUCCCUGCUGGUGGCAAUUUGAGAAAACUGUGGGCCUUUGGGAAAUGGAGCCUUGCUGAAGAGCAUGUGUCACUGGGGACAGACUUCGGAGUACUGUCGCCGAGCCCCAAACCUCGUACUCCCAACUACUUCCUUCCUGGCUGCUGUGGGGAAUGUGGUGCCCCGCUUUCUGCCUGUUAUGCUUCCCCACCACAACCCAUCCCCCUGGAUGCCGUGAUCCAGAAGGCUAUGGAUGGGGAGUUACUUAUGGAAGCAUGAGUGACUCAAAUGCAGCCGUGUCACCCCAAAAUAGCACCCCAAGAUGAGCGAUGACCUCACGGAAGCCACAUCAUGGAAUUGUCCUUCUAGUCAACCUCCUACAUUCUCUGGCUUCUCCCAAGAUCACUUGCAACUACAGGCGGGGACAAUAGCAGGAGUCCCCGGUGGGGCUCCUGUGACCUUCCCUCCGCAGUCUCCUAGGGAGUGCCAAUAACUCCAUUGCCAUGGCCACAGGCUUGCCGGUCACUGCACUGUUCCACUCCGAGCUGCCGUGGCUACCUGACCCGAGUACGUUCUACUCCAAGAUGGCAUCCAUUCUGCUGUACCUGGGGGGAAAGCACCAUGUCUCAACAGUGUGAAGAAGGUGGGCCAUAGUGAAGGUUUUUGGUCUCAAAAUCCCAAACUGAGCAACAAAGAGAAGAGAGGAUUCCCCUACCUGAGUAACGUAAGCAGGAAACAGUUCUAACAGGACAUAGAUUUAA